rnacentral:rRNA from 1 species
UGCAGUCGAGCGAAGUCUUCGGACUUAGCGGCGGACGGGUUAGUAACGCGUGGGAACGUGCCCCUGGGUAAGGAACAACAGUUGGAAACGACUGCUAAUACCUUAUGAUGUCUUCGGACCAAAGAUUUAUCGCCCAGGGAUCGGCCCGCGUUGGAUUAGGUAGUUGGAGGGGUAAUGGCCCACCAAGCCUACGAUCCAUAGCUGGUUUGAGAGGAUGAUCAGCAACACUGGGACUGAGACACGGCCCAGACUCCUACGGGAGGCAGCAGUGGGGAAUCUUAGACAAUGGGCGCAAGCCUGAUCUAGCCAUGCCGCGUGAUCGAUGAAGGCCUUAGGGUUGUAAAGAUCUUUCGACGGGGACGAUAAUGACGGUACCCGUAGAAGAAGCCCCGGCUAACUUCGUGCCAGCAGCCGCGGUAAUACGAAGGGGGCUAGCGUUGUUCGGAAUUACUGGGCGUAAAGCGCGUGUAGGCUGAUUGGCAAGUUGGGGGUGAAAUCCCAGGGCUCAACCCUGGAACUGCCUCCAAAACUGCCAGUCUGGAGUCC